rnacentral:rRNA from 1 species
CCUGGUUGAUCCUGCCAGUAGUCAUAUGCUUGUCUCAAAGAUUAAGCCAUGCAUGUCUAAGUACAUACCUUUGCACGGUGAAACCGCGAAUGGCUCAUUAAAUCAGUUAUGGUUCCUUAGAUAGUUCAUAUUACAUGGAUAACUGUGGUAAUUCUAGAGCUAAUACAUGCAAAAAGCUCCGACCGUAUGGGAAGAGCGCUUUUAUUAGACCAAAACCAAUGGGGUCGCAAGAUCCCUUUGUAUGGUGACUCUGGAUAACUUUGUGCUGAUCGCAUGGCCUCGAGCCGGCGACGUAUCUUUCAAAUGUCUGCCCUAUCAACUUUCGAUGGUAAGCGAUUUGCCUACCAUGGUUGUAACGGGUAACGGGGAAUCAGGGUUCGAUUCCGGAGAGGGAGCAUGAGAAAUGGCUACCACAUCUACGGAAGGCAGCAGGCGCGCAAAUUACCCACUCCUAGAUCGGGGAGGUAGUGACGAAAAAUAACAAUACCGGACUCUAUGAGGCUCGGUAAUUGAAAUGAGUACAGUUUAAAACCCUUAACGAGGAUCUAUUGGAGGGCAAGUCUGGUGCCAGCAGCCGCGGUAAUUCCAGCUCCAAUAGCGUAUAUUAAAGUUGUUGCAGUUAAAAAGCUCGUAGUUGGAUCUCGGGUACUAGCAUGUGGUACGCUUAAUUGCUGUUACUACUUGUCUAGUCCUAAUCAAUCGGUUGGCCGUUUAUGUCCUUUAUUGGGUGUUUUCGGUAGCCGGUACGUUUACUUUGAGAAAAUUAGAGUGCUUAAAGCAGGCUUUACGCCUGAAUAAUGUUGCAUGGAAUAAUAGAAUAGGACCUCGGUUCUAUUUUGUUGGUUUUGUAGAGCAUUGAGGUAAUGAUUGAUAGGGACAGACGGGGGCAUUCGUAUUGCGGUGUUAGAGGUGAAAUUCUUGGAUCGCCGCAAGACGAACAACUGCGAAAGCAUUUGCCAAGAAUGUUUUCAUUAAUCAAGAACGAAAGUUGGAGGUUCGAAGACGAUUAGAUACCGUCCUAGUUCCAACCAUAAACGAUGCCAACUAGCGAUUAGCUGCUGUUAAUUAAACGACACAGCUAGCAGCUUCCGGGAAACCAAAGUUUUUGGGUUCCGGGGGAAGUAUGGUUGCAAAGCUGAAACUUAAAGGAAUUGACGGAAGGGCACCACCAGGAGUGGAGCCUGCGGCUUAAUUUGACACAACACGGGAAAUCUCACCCGGCCCGGACUCUGUAAGGAUUGACAGAUUGAGAGCUCUUUCUUGAUUCGGUGGGUGGUGGUGCAUGGCCGUUCUUAGUUGGUGGAGCGAUUUGUCUGGUUAAUUCCGAUAACGAACGAGACUCUAGCCUGCUAAAUAGUACGCCGAUCUU